UACGUAGGAGGCAAGCAUUAUCCGGAUUUAUUGGGCGUAAAGUGUGCGUAGGUGUUCUGUAAAGUCUUAUCUUAAAGACCGGGGCUUACCCUCGGGAUUGGAUAGGAUACUAACAGAAUUGAGGAUUGGUAGGGAUGCUGGAACAGUAUGUGUAGCAGUGAAAUGCGUUGAUAUAUACUGGAACACCGAUGGCGAAGGCAGGCAUCUGGGCUCUUCCUGACACUGAGGCACGAAAGCUAGGGUAGCGAAA
rnacentral:rRNA from 1 species